rnacentral:rRNA from 1 species
GACGGAGGAUGCAAGCGUUAUCCGGAAUUAUUGGGCGUAAAGCGUCCGCAGGUGGCUGUUCAAGUCUGCUGUCAAAGCGCAGAGCUUAACUCUGUACAGGCGGUGGAAACUGAAGAGCUAGAGUAUGGUAGGGGUAGAGGGAAUUCCCGGUGUAGCGGUGAAAUGCGUAGAUAUCGGGAAGAACAUCGGUGGCGAAAGCGCUCUACUGGACCGCAACUGACACUCAGGGACGAAAGCUAGGGGAGCGAAUGGG